rnacentral:rRNA from 1 species
GUGAGGAAUAUUGCGCAAUGGAGGCAACUCUGACGCAGCCAUGCCGCGUGCAGGAAGAAGGCGCUACGCGUUGUAAACUGCUUUUAACCGGCAAGAAACCCCAGGACGUGUCCUGGGUUGACGUUACCGGAGGAAUAAGCACCGGCUAACUUCGUGCCAGCAGCCGCGGUAAUACGAAGGGAGCAAGCGUUAUCCGGAUUCAUUGGGUUUAAACGGUGCGUAGGCGUAGCGUACAGUCAGUGGUGAAAUCCUGCAGCUUAACUGUAGACUUGCCAUUGAUAAUGGCGCUCUUUAGUGCGCUUGAAGUGGGCGGAAUGUGCCGUGUAGAGGUGAAAUGCUUAGAUAUGGCACAGAACACCAAUUGCGAAGGCAGCUCACUAAGGCGAUACUGACGCUGAGGCACGAAAGCGUGGGGAUCGAACAGGAUUAGAAACCCCUGUAGUCC